AUUCAUCUGUCGAGUUUCAAAUAAAACGAAACGUGCGUCCUGGAU
rfam:Schistosoma haematobium scaffold651_23, whole genome shotgun sequence.